rnacentral:rRNA from 1 species
CCAGCANUUGCGGUUAUACUAAAAAAUCUAGUUAUAUUAAUAGGGUAAAAAUGUGGUUAAGAUUUAUUUAUAUUCUAGUUUUAAUUAUAAACUAUUUUUAGGUAAAAUUUUAAUAUGUUUAUUUUUAAUAAAGCUUUUAUAGAGGCCACGAAUGUUUUAGUAGAAACUAGGAUUAGAUACCCUAUUAUUUUUAAUUGUAAAUUUCUUUAUACCUAAAUAUUAUGAACAAUUGUUUAAAACUUAAAGAACUUGGCGGUAUCUUAGACUACUUAGGGGAACCUGUUUUUUAAUCGAUAAUCCUCGUUUUACCUUACCUUUCUUUGUUAUUCAGUUUGUAUACCGUCGUCUUCAGUUAACGUCAGAGAUAAAAAUAGUUGUCUAUUUAAAAUUUGUUUUUGAUGUCAGAUCAAGGUGCAGCUUAUAGAUUGGUUAAUAUGGGUUACAAUUAUCUAUUUAUAAUAUGGAUAGUUUUUUGAAAUUAUUAUUUGAAAGAGGACUUAAAAGUAAUUUAGUUUAGAUAUAUUUAAUGAAUAUAGCUCUUUGAUGUGUACACAUCGCCCGUCAC